UUUUACCUACUCAUUAAUCACAUGCUCUUUUUUAAUGGCAAUUUCAGAUAGGUGCAUCUGAACUAGCUUUGAAUUAUCUGGCUAACAGCAGCAACCUGUGCACAGCUUGUAUUCUGAAAUGCGCUAUGGUCACUUGAGUGUGUUUGCUGCAAAGCAAGUAAAUUCCAUAGCCUGUAGCAUGGCUUGCAUUGCUUGCUAGUGUUCCCUGGGCCAGUUACAUCUAAGGCAAUACCUGAAAUAACUUUGAAACUGCAAAUGUUUGUUACAUGGUAGCUUCUCUGUGUUGCCUUCAGCAUGUACUGGUAUUUUUGUAAUAGUUACUAGAUCUAGGGAUGUCUCUGAUUUUCUUUUGGUCUGAGGAGGAGAUAGUAAGUAAAGGCUGCCUUGUGCGAUAGAAUUUUAUGCUUCAUACCUGACCUUAUUACUCUGUACUUUUUUCAUUCAUGUGUAUGACUGUUGCAAGCAGUAAUGCCAUAGUGAUUGAUAAGUGUUUUCUUCUAGGACUGAAGCAUCUCUGCAUCACUGUCUUUUUGUUAGUUUGUAAUCAAACAAGGUUAGAGUUCAUGUAUUUUAAUUUUGCUAGCCAUUCACUUAGGGGGAAAAAACCCCAACAGACAAAAAUAAUCUUGAAUUUUGUAAAUGUUAGUGUGAAAAUUGCAUUAUAGCAGUAAAACAGCUAAUCUGUGAAUUCUGAACAAUAACUUGCAAACUGGGACAUAUUAUGGGUACUGCCUGCCACUUGGUGUACUUCUAGUUUUAUAGUAAUUGAUUAUUGCCUUUGGUGUUAUCGUAAUUUUAAAAGUGAGGGUUGGACUUAGUGACACAAAUGCUGAGACCUGUAAAUGGCUAAAGUAAUGUAGGCACUUCGUUCAGAAAGAUGGGGUUUUCUUACCAGAGAUUGGACUGUGGGCAGUUGAAAUUUGUAGAUACUGUUAUUACCUAAAGAGAAUCUAAAACUUAAUUUUGUUUGCUAAUGUAUGUAAACAGAAAAAAGUUUUGAGCCUGUACCUUAGGUUUAUUUUUAUAUGUUGAAAACUGCAAUUAAAAUAAUUCUGAAAAC
rnacentral:lncRNA from 1 species